UCGAGGCGCUGCUCGCGCACCAACUCUUCAGUCUUUUUGCUUCCCAUUUUGUACCGUACAGUACGUCCACCGAAGUACUGACGUUUCGCUGUGCCAUCGCAUGGCCGACGUGUGCAUUCCGAGGUUCACUUUCGCGUGGUACCCGCUCUGUCACAAGUAUCGCUUUUAAAACGUUAACACUUGUGGCAAAACAUCAACAUACCGAUCUCAGAAGAAAAAUUACUAGAUCCGGCUUUCACGUCGACGUGGACCACCUUUCCAGGCUUCGUCCCGUUGGUAAUAAACGAUUAAUUUAGUUCGAACCUGUAAGCCGCGACCACGCGACACAACGCUCAGCGAUGUCCAACGAAGAAACUUCCGCCGACCGCAAUGUCGAAAUCUGGAAAAUCAAGAAACUUAUAAAAAGUCUCGAAAUGGCCAGGGGGAAUGGGACUAGUAUGAUUUCGUUAAUUAUCCCUCCAAAAGAUCAGAUAUCGAGAGUAAGCAAAAUGUUAGCAGAUGAGUUUGGGACAGCAUCAAAUAUUAAAUCUCGUGUAAAUAGACUAUCUGUUUUGGGUGCUAUCACAUCCGUACAACAUAGGCUAAAAUUAUAUACGAAAGUGCCUCCAAAUGGCCUGGUAAUAUAUUGUGGUACCAUUGUAACAGAAGAAGGAAAAGAAAAGAAAGUUAACAUUGAUUUUGAACCCUUUAAACCUAUUAAUACUUCACUUUAUCUUUGUGAUAACAAGUUUCACACUGAAGCACUUACAGCAUUGCUUGCUGAUGAUAAUAAAUUUGGUUUUAUCGUCAUGGAUGGUAAUGGAGCAUUGUUUGGCACGCUGCAAGGAAAUACCCGUGAGGUUUUACAUAAAUUUACAGUAGAUCUUCCAAAAAAGCAUGGCAGAGGUGGACAGUCUGCGCUUCGUUUUGCUCGGUUGCGUAUGGAAAAGCGGCAUAAUUACGUUCGAAAAGUUGCAGAAGUAGCUACCCAAUUAUAUAUUACUAAUGAUAAACCUAAUAUUGCUGGUUUAAUUUUAGCAGGUAGUGCAGACUUUAAAACAGAACUUAGUCAAUCGGACAUGUUUGAUCCAAGAUUGCAGGCAAAGGUUAUAAAGUUAGUAGAUGUUUCAUAUGGUGGAGAGAAUGGUUUUAAUCAAGCUAUUGAGUUGGCUGCUGAAUCUUUGCAAAAUGUAAAGUUUAUUCAGGAAAAAAAAUUAAUUGGCCGUUAUUUCGACGAAAUCUCACAAGAUACAGGGAAAUAUUGUUUCGGCGUAGAAGAUACAUUAAGAGCAUUAGAGUUAGGCAGUGUAGAGACUCUCAUUUGUUGGGAGAAUUUAGAUAUUCAGCGGUACGUUUUAAAGAACCAUACAAAUGCAGAAGAGAAGGUUUUACACCUAACACCGGAACAGGAAAAAGAUAAAACUCAUUUUACUGACAAAGAGAGCGGAGUAGAAUUGGAACUUGUAGAAUGUCAGCCUUUACUUGAGUGGUUAGCAAACAACUACAAGAGUUUCGGUGCCACUUUGGAAAUUAUUACAGAUAAAUCUCAAGAAGGCUCUCAAUUUGUAAGAGGUUUUGGCGGCAUUGGAGGAAUCCUCCGCUACAAAGUUGAUUUCCAGUCACUGCAGGCUGAUGAGCCUCUUGAUGAUGUUGACCUCGAUGAUUACUAAUUUCAUCUGUGAAAUACUCAAAGUUGACCAGCUUGCAUAUUGGGAAAGGUAUAGUAUAUUGCGGUACAAAGUGGACUUUCAGAGUAUGCAACUUGAAGAUGUUGAGGUUGAUACCUUUGAUCUGGAUGACUAUUAAAUCCGUGACUCGACAGACAGUUCUUUUAGCUUCAUAGGAAAACAUAAGUAUAUGUUCUCCCUUGCAUCGUAUUUUAAGAGAGGCACAUAAGAGGACAUGUUUAUAAAAUUUAUUAUAUGAUGCAACACACAUCAUAAAAUUAUUCAUUAGAAUUCAUUCGAGCAAUUCACAAUCAAUACACAAAGGUGAAAAGCACAACACGUGGCGCGCCGAUAAUCCAUGUCCAUGAAGAAACAAAGGCAACUCGAAGACUGUGACACUUAAUUAAGCCAGCUUGAUACCUGCCUAUCUCACAGAACAUUACCUUAUAUUACAGUUACAUUCUUUAAUUAUUCACAUGGAUUUAUUUAAAUAAUUACACGCGUUACAGUGCUGAAUAUGUUUGUACAGUACACGGUUGGAGAUAUGAUAAUUUUGUACCAAAUUAAUGUUUUGCCAUCUUGUCAUGAAUUUUACGAUUGAAAAAUGGAAAGGAGGAAAGAUAUUCAGAUAACAUGAGGACGAAUGUAGAGUUAUUUUUGUUCAGAUACAACCAUGGAUAAGCUGUAAUAAACUGAUUAUCAUAAACAUAAAGUUGCGUAUCGUGUAUUCUAUACCGAUUACUAAAUUCAUAUGAAUAAUGAAGAGUUCUGUACAUAGACUUAAAUUUUUAAUGGCACUGUUGCCUUAGACAUAAGUUAAGAUCGCGUAAUAUCCCAGGAAAAUAAAAUCUUUCCGUCUCAUCGAGUGAUACACAUAUAAACAUAUAAGAGAUAAUUUUUCGUAUCUACAUUAACUUUGCUGGCUCUUGACUCUUAUAUUUUGUACACUCACAAUUGUAUAUAACAAAUGCUCCGCAAGUGUAUCGAGAUAUAUCUUUUCGAUUGUUACAACGGUGCACUCCGUUAGUAAAGAAAUAUCUUCUGCAAUAUUUAAGUAGCAAUUAUUGAGAAUCUUACAAAAUUUAUUUUAACAUUGUUAAUUUAAAUUGCUUAUCCAUAUGAUGCCUUUGUAAUAAACAAUAAUAUGUAUGUAUAAAUGUGAGAAGAAUGAAACGUGCAAUUUUGGUGAAGUAUCUUUUAUGAAAAGUCUCUGUAUAAUAAAGGAAGAUUUGCAAAUACCGUGAAUCUUAUGGUGAAAAUAAUGUAUUGUUAAUUAAUAGUAUAACUAGAUUAUUUAUACUAUUAUGCCAUAUGUGAUGCAAGGAUAAAGCUUUAUGAAAACUUCAUCAAAAUAGAACGUUCAACAAAAAAUGACCUGGCUUAUGGUAUGUGCACAACGAAUUCCAAAACAUGAUGGUUUAAAAGUAUUGUAUCUGUGUAUUGUCUUCAAGGCAGCGAAAUGUUGAAUGUCAGCUUAAUGUUUCUUUAAAUUUUUAUAUGUAAACAUUCUUUCGAUAGGAAUCUAGAUAAUUAUUUAUUACUACAUCGGUGCGAUUAUUUCUUCUGCUUAACAGAAGAUUAUUUUAAGUAUACAAGUUCUAGUUCUAAGAACUCGGUAAACGUCUGAAAGAGAUUAGGAAAAAGCCGUGUAAUCUUGAAUAAUUUUCGGUUUUUUUUUGUUUUUAAUUUUUUUAUAAGGUAAGGGAAUGUGAAUUUGCAGAAGAACGCAUGAAAGAAAGGAAUUAAUAGACGUCGUUCGUACAUCUCAUUUAAACAAAUCAAUGACGUACUUAGAUUAUGGCUUGCCUAUGAUCUCUUCCAUAAGCAUAGUUGUAUAAUCUGCUAACAGAUUUAUAAUUUUUGGCAAUCUUAUUCUCCUGUAUUGCUCUAACAAAAUAUUUUUGUUCUUUCAAAUGUUAUUUUUUAUCUAACAAGGCAAUACAAAGAUGUAAUCGUUAUAAGUUUUUGCUUAAUGAAAUUUUUCAAAAUGUGGAUUUAAUACCUCAUAUUUUACAUGUAUUGUACGCGUAAAGUACAUUCAUGCUAUACCCUACAAAUUUUAAUUCGUUUUUACUGAAAUGAAUACGAGGAUACGGUGAAAAUAUGAAUUUCGAGUUUACGUGAUAAAAUGUUGGCCGUACCAUGAUACAUGUUCUAUGAAAGAUGUUUUGUGAAGUGAUAAAGAGGGAUAUUGAAAUAAUGGCUCAUAAUAAUGAAAUGAUAGUUUAUGAUACUUAAAUGUAGUCUAUGUGACAAAACAUUCUGAUUAUGAUGAUAAAAGUUACCUCGAUAAAAAUUCAUAGUGUUAACUUAUAAUUAUCUUUAACUCUAUCAAGUAGUUAGCUCAUAUAUCUAUGUUUUGUAUGUUUUGGUAUAUGUGGUAGUUAUUAACAAUUAAAAUUGUAUUAUUAUUUUACUGUUAAUAAUACGGAAUCGAGAAGAAUAUAAAUUUUGUAAAACUAACAAUGAAAUAUUUUAAUCGCUUUCGCUUCUCUUCGAAAAUAUUUUCAAUUUAUUUGUUAAUUAAACAUUAUUUCCAAUCUCCCUUUUUUCACAUACGCAUUACACAAAAUUUAUACGCAAAGAAAAUUAACGUAUCGUUAAUAUCAAAAUUUAAUAAGAAUCUGAAUAGAAUAGAAUAUGAAAAAGUGAAUAAGAAGUGAAAAAUACAGUCUAUGUUUCUCAUGCAAACAAGUUGCUAUUAGAACCCGAAAAUGUCACAAUAAUAUUUGUUUUCACAGGGCACAUCCAAGAUAACUAUUUAAAAAUAUUUUAGAAUUGUAAAAAGUAUGAUAAAUAAUAGCGGAGAUAGAAUGGAAAAAUAGAUUUUAACGUUUUUGCUCUGUGAUGGAUCCGAUCACAAUGAGAGAUAUUUCCGGGUUCCAAUUAUAACGUCUUCUUACAUUUUUGUUAAUGCUCUCCCUUUUAUAUACGUGAAUUUUACUUACAUGAAGUAACAGAAAAAAUUCUUUAUAUUAUUGGUAAGACAUACAUAUUCGCCUAUGGAACGAGGUGCUAUUGAAUAGAAAUUUGAAUAGAAAGAUGAAAAGAAAUUGAAAGAAUAUAAUAAAAGAGAAAGUACUCUAUGAAA